rnacentral:rRNA from 1 species
UACGGAGGGUGCAAGCGUUGCUCGGAAUCACUGGGCGUAAAGGGCGUGUAGGCGGCCAGGUAGGUCUGCUGUGAAAACUCGAGGCUCAACCUCGAGACGUCGGCGGAAACCAUCUGGCUAGAGUCCGGAAGAGGAGAGUGGAAUUCCUGGUGUAGCGGUGAAAUGCGCAGAUAUCAGGAAGAACACCGGUGGCGAAAGCGCUCUGCUGGACCUUAACUGACACUGAGGGACGAAAGCUAGGGGAGCGAAUGGG